UACAGAGGGUGCAAGCGUUAAUCGGAAUUACUGGGCGUAAAGCGCGCGUAGGUGGUUUGUUAAGUUGGAUGUGAAAUCCCCGGGCUCAACCUGGGAACUGCAUUCAAAACUGACAAGCUAGAGUAUGGUAGAGGGUGGUGGAAUUUCCUGUGUAGCGGUGAAAUGCGUAGAUAUAGGAAGGAACACCAGUGGCGAAGGCGACCGCCUGGACUGAUACUGACACUGAGACUCGAAAGCGUGGGGAGCAAACAGG
rnacentral:rRNA from 1 species